CCUUGUGCCAAGCAGCCGCGGUAAUUCCAGCUCCAAUAGCGUAUAUUAAAGUUGUUGCAGUUAAAAAGCUCGUAGUUGGAUUUCUGGUGGGAGCACGGGUCGGCCCUCACGGGUUGUACUGUUGUUGCGUCCCGCCGUUUCGGAGGGAAUGGUCUCGCUAUUAAGUUAGCGUGAUCGGGAACUCUGUCGUUUGCUGUGAAAAAAUUAGAGUGUUCAAAGCAGGCUAAAAUGCCUGAAUAUUCGUGCAUGGAAUAAUAGAAUAGGAUGUCGAUCCUAUUUUGUUGGUUUUCGGGACUCGACAUAAUGAUAAAUAGGGACAGUCGGGGGCAUUUGUAUUCAAACGACAGAGGUGAAAUUCUUGGACCGUUUGAAGACAAACUACUGCGAAAGCAUUUGCCAAGAAUGUUUUCAUUAAUCAAGAACGAAAGUUAGAGGUUCGAAGGCGAUUAGAUACCGCCCUAGUUCUAACCAUAAACGAUGCCAGCUAGCGAUCUGCCUGCGUUUUUACUGUAGACUGGGCAGGAAGCUUCCGGGAAACCAAAGCAUUUGGGUUCCAGGGGAAGUAUGGUUGCAAAGCUGAAACUUAAAGGAAUUGACGGAAGGGCACCACCAGGAGUGGAGCCUGUGGCUUAAUUUGACUCAACACGGGAAAUCUCACCAGGCCCGGACACUGGAAGGAUUGACAGAUUGAUAGCUCUUUCUUGAUUCGGUGGGUGGUGGUGCAUGGCCGUUCUUAGUUGGUGGAGUGAUUUGUCUGGUUAAUUCCGAUAACGAACGAGACUCUGUCCUGCUAAAUAGUUUCUACUUCUCUUUUGAGUAGAAAUUUCUUCUUAGAGGGACUGGUGACUCUUAGUCACACGAGAUUGAGCAAUAACAGGUCUGUGAUGC
rnacentral:rRNA from 1 species